rnacentral:rRNA from 1 species
GAUGAACGCUAGCGGGAGGCUUAACACAUGCAAGUCGAGGGGCAGCAUAGGGUAGCAAUACUCUGAUGGCGACCGGCAAACGGGUGAGUAACGCGUAUGCAACCUACCCUGUACAGGGGGAUAACCCGGAGAAAUUCGGACUAAUAUCCCGUAAUAAUAUCCGGAGGCAUCUUUGGAUAUUUAAAGUUCCGACGGUACGGGAUGGGCAUGCGUAACAUUAGCUGGUUGGUAAGGUAACGGCUUACCAAGGCUAUGAUGUUUAGGGGUCCUGAGAGGGUGGUCCCCCACACUGGUACUGAGACACGGACCAGACUCCUACGGGAGGCAGCAGUGAGGAAUAUUGGUCAAUGGGGCGCAAAGCCCUGAACCAGCCAUCCCGCGUGCAGGAAGACGGCCCUAUGGGUUGUAAACUGCUUUUCCAGGGAGAGAAACUUACGCACGUGUUGCGUGACUGACGGUACCCUGGGAAUAAGCAUCGGCUAACUCCGUG